UCAAGCCACCCAAGUCGAUCGCACCCGAAGUCCUUGUGCUAACCCCUCGGGGAGGCAGAGGCCGAAGGUGAGGUUGGUAAGGGGGACU
rnacentral:rRNA from 1 species